ensembl:lncRNA
GCUUUACUCAUGCUUAAACUGAGGUUAAAUAUUUUUGGUCAAGAAUAGCACAGAAAUGAUGUAGUGCCCUUCUCUCUUUGUCAUAGGUGUGGUACAAGACGUUGACAGGUCUUAUUACUGCCGAUGUUGACCUUGCUCACUUGGUUAAGGUAAUGUCAUAUUAUGCCAGAUUUAUCCACUCUUGUUCUUUUAUAGUUAAUAUCUUUGGGUGAGAUAUUUUGAGAAUAUGCAAAUAUCUUGUUCUCAUUAUAUUUUUCUUCUAUUAAAUUCUAUACAGAGAAUCACCAGUUUACCUUGAUCCUUGACCAAAUAGUUCAGAAAAAAAAGUUUGGAUUUAGGAGCCUCAGAACUUGGGUGCCCAAGAAUCGGGUCUCUAGAUAUAUUUUAGCACUGAAUCCUGAAUAUGCAUGCUUCUCAAGGCUGACUGUGGAGUGGGAGUGGACUGAAAUGUGCAUUGCAGGUAUCUGAGACAAUUGGCUGAUUCAGUCACUUCACGGCAUAUUUCUGGGACUUAUGUCAUAUAGGCCCUGCUGUCACUCUUCGGGACUCUGAGUUACCCCACCUCCAAGCCAUUCUACACUGAAGUUUGUGAGGAUUUCAACUCAGUGUCCCGAGGGUGUUUAUUUCCUAGUUUCUCAGAGGGAAGGCACAGUGUUUGUACCCUGGCCUCCCUCUCCAAUCAAAGAUUCAGCUACCUCCACAGAUGCCCAUGUAAAUCAUCUUUAGUAGAACAAUGAGAAUCUGGGGAAAACCCCUCCUAGGGAAAUGAGUGCCAUUUCAUUAAGAGAGAAAAAAAACAAUCCUUCAAAUCUGGUUCAUCUCACAGUCUAAAUGCAAGUUCUUAAUUAAAAGCCAACAGAGAUUUCUAAAGUUGGAGAAAAACUGGAGCAACAACUUUUAAAAUUAUCCUGUGGGCUUUUUUUCCUUCUUAGUCUCUUAAAGGGAAAAAGGCUAAUAACCAUUCAGUGGCAAAUUGCUGUUCCUUUACAACAAGGAAGUGAAUGAGAAUGAAGAGUGGCAUCCCAGGGGAAUAGGGAGUCAUCCCAUAAUUAGACUGGGCACCAUGUAGAGAGGCAGCAAAAAAUUACUGGAAUGGAUCAAUGAGGAAUUAGCCUGUUAGACCUUGAUGCUUUAUUUUCAUUUCUAGUUUCCAAAUGAAUAAGUAAAAGGCCAUGCCUUACACUUCUGUGUUUUCCACAGAACCUGAAACAGUGCUGAGCAUGAAGUAAGAACUCAGGACAUCUUUGUUUAUUGAUUUGAGGAUUCCAUAAUUCAAAGUCUCUGGUGUUUUUGUAGGCUAUGGGUUUUGUUUGAACGGAUCAGUGCUAAAUGAUGGCAAUGAUUAUUGUUUCUUUGUGUCCAGCGUUUCUCUACUUUGUAUUAUUCACAUUGUAAGCCAGAUAAUUCUUUGUUGUAGGGGCUAUCCUGUGCAUUAUAGGAUGUUUAGCAUCAUCCCUGGCCUUUAUGCAUUAGAUGCCAGUAGCAAGUCACGACAAGGAAAAAUGUCUCCAGACAUUGCCAAAUGUCCCCUGAAAGGGGGUAGGGGGGCGGCAAAAUCACUGCCAUUUAAGAACUAUGACUUUAUUUUUUUAUCCCAAGGUCACACAGUAAAUAAAUGGUAGAAUUGAGACUAAGACUCAGAAAGUCUGAGCCCUGGCCUCCAGUAAUUUCCAUGAUAUAACUCUAUUCAUUGCAUUGUUGACUACAUGGAUAAGAACAUGAUGUUAGGAGCAUCCUUAUACAUCGGAAUGGACUUUUUUGGGAGGGAUUCUGCACGAGUCAGGUUAACUUAGUGGCAUGCAGAUCACCUUGAAGAAUCACGAAACUUUGUCCAUUUUGCAGGAGAAUCCACUGAUCACAGACAUGCAAUAAUCUAAAGAGAGGAGAUUUGAUUUUGCCUCUUUCUGAGUACCCGCAGAGGUCUGGGCAGUUCUGAUUCCACAUCUCUAUCCUUAAUUUACAUAUUGCCUCCAUUUUAGCAAUGCAGAAGGGAAAUGAAUAAAAACAAUUAUCCUCAAAGACAUUCAGUCUGGUCUUGACUUGUUAAGAACGAUAAAAGUCAGCAGUUAGAAGCAUUUAAUACAGCUGAACAAACCGUAGAGUCUCAAACAGCUUCAUCUGGUGCAUUUCCUCUCAGUGGCAAAUAAAAAGGAAGACUAUAAUUAGGGCAUGAUUCUGUUCAAGCUAUCCAAUAAAAGCUUUUAAAAAUGAUUGCCCUUAUAGAUGACAAUGUAAAGAACAAAAGAAUCUUGUAUGGUUUGUUAUCUGCUUAUUAGUAUUACUAUAUGAUAAUCUCUCCUUUUUGCAUUUUAAACCAAAGGGAAAUACUAAAAUGCUUACAUGAGUUCUUAAGUACCUUUUUGACAACACAUUCAAAGUACACUGGUUUCUUUAUUUUGAAAGGCAGGUCUCAGAUUUUCGGUUAAUCAGUAAGUGUUCAUUAAACCCCACGCUAUUUUCCAGGUCCAAGGGUAUUAUACAAAAUUGGGUUGAAAGAUCUGAAUCUCAUCUAUGUUCUAGAAAUUGAAAGUAGAGUGAGAGGGAGAGAAUUCAGUGACCCUCGAUCUUCAAUGUGUGCAUGAAUAACCUGGGGGAUCUUGUUAAAAUGAGUUUCUAACUUAGUAGGUCUGGAGUAGGACAUGAGAUUCUGCAGUUCUAAGAAGUUUCCAGGUGAUGCUGAUGUUGCUGGUCCAACAAUCACACUUGGUUUAGCAAGAAUCUAAAUGACAAGUCAAGGAUACAUGAUAUAAUAUAACAGCAGCCCUAACUACUAAGUCAAAAGUAUGGUUUCCUCCAAGUUCAGAGAGUUCUACUCUUCUCAUCUCUGUGGUGGAGCAACCAGUGAAGAUGUUUAUGUGUCCCGUGCUUAUGCACAUCACCAGAGCUGCAUGCUACAUUCCUCAUGUGUGCAAAUGUGUUUGCAUUUUGUUCCAUGGAGAUAGGGAUGGGCUUCCACUAUUGUGCACCUCUGACAAGUGUUUAAGCUGUUCAUUUGAAAUCUGGCAUUGGCUGGUGGCCUAGACUUCCACGGGAACAUCCGUGGCUCUUGUGUUUUCUCUUUGGGUUUUAUGACUGCCCAGAGACUCUUCAGAUUGGGGUCUUUGGCCUAACUCUGUGCUAUUCACAUAGUCCCUUGAGGAUACUCCUAGUCACUCUAUGGACCAGAUGCAGCUUAGGGGAGAAACAGGGAUAAGUAGGUCCUGCUCUCUUAUUUCCUGCAAAUGUGUGGAGGCCUUCCCUCUGAAGGUUUGCUUAUGGCUGAUGGUGACAUUGUGCCUAGUUAGCAGCUGAGCUUCUAGGCUAGUGCUGUCUAAUAAAUCUUUCUGCCAUGACAGGAUUACUGUUACUGUGUUGUCCAGUUGUUAGCCAUUAGCCACCUGUGGCUAUUGAGAACUUGACGUAUAGCUUGUUCGACUGAAGAACUGAAUUUUGAAUUUUAAUUAUGUUUAAUUAAAUAAAAUCUAAUGUUAAAGACUACACGUGGCUAGUGGCUACCAUAUAGGACUCACAGCUAGAUGACUUCUCUAAGAUACAUGCACUCAUAGGAAAACAGCAGGAAAUGGUUGGCUUCAACCAAGUUUAGACUACUUCUGACCUGGCUUUCAAAUUUAUCAAGGUCAUGAAUUGACAUGGGGAUAUGUGUUAAUUUCUCUGUUUAUUUUUAUAUCUUUCAUAGACUAUGUGAGAGACUAUGUAUUUAAUUUACAUUUUUAAAAGACUUUUAGUUUGUCUUGUAAGAGGUAGCUAUGAUAGGUAGUCUAGAAAAUAUUGUCUUACAAAAUGAAUUAAAAAAUCACUCAUAAUCCCACCAUCUAAAACCAACCACACUGAACACACAGUGAACAUUUUGGUGACUAGUCUUUUAGUUCUAUGUGUGUAUCCUACAUAAUGAUCUAUAAAAAAAUUGUAGAUCUAUAAAUCUAUAAAUAAAUAUUACAUAAAAGAAAUUUAACUUAGAUAAAAUACUUUUGGGAGAGGUAAUAGUGACCUAGUACUGGAGAACAUGAACCUUUAUACGCCACUGGAAGAAGGAAGAUAGGGUAAUUUAAUUCCUUUUUUGGAAAAGGUAAAGCUCUGCUUUGCAUGUUAACUGUGACCAACCUAUGAAACUCUUUUGUAGGCAUCAAAGAAAUGGAGUCUGUGAGUGACUGAUCAAAACUCUCGGGCUAACAGACGGACUCUUAUCUAAGAGCCCUGGAUGAGCACUUAGCCAUCUGAGUUGCUGUCACAGCCCCUGCCUUUGUUCAGGCCCACAAAAGGGAAAAAAACAUUCUCUUGAGGCUCAAGAUGGUGAUGUUUCUGGGGACAGCUGAGUGGAAGGGGAAAGUUCCUUUGCAAACUGAAUUUGAAAACCUGGAAUUUAAGCGUUUAUAUCUGAUGAAAUGUAAGUCAUUUUAAGGAAUCCACAUGACUUUGUGUGGGAUAGGGGAAGAGGGAGUGCAGGAGGGAGGCUGCGGAGGUCAAAGUAUAAACGAGAGACUCACUCAGAAAGCUUUUGCAACGGAAGCUCCCUACAGGUUCCUCUGUUUUCUCUUGAGAUCGUGGGCAGUGUACAACUGCACUUGACAUCGUAUGCAAUGUUAAGUGCUUAAUCAGUCUGAAAGCACUGUCAUAAUAACAGCUAGCAAUGGCGCUUUUGUUCUUUUCUGCCUGCUUCUCAGACUCACACUGAAUGACAAGUUCAAAGUUUAUGAACUCCAGAAAGACAAACUUAGACUCUUCUCUUGUUCCGUGAAAGCUUUUUAUUGUCCUCCUUUCCACCUAAACCAGAAGUACAAAUAUGGGUGCAAGGAACUGAUGAUCCCAUUUAUGAAUUACCAAAGGAUUCUUCCAUCUUAAAUUUUCUGGCCUCUUCUCGAUCAGUUCCCUGCUUAUUUAAAUGUAUGGCUCCUGUGGUAUUUUUAAUCUACAGUGCUGGCUUUGCUGUUUGGUCAUAUCUUAUGAAACAGCACAGUAGUUCAGAACAUAGACUCUGGAGUCAUACUGCUGGAUUCAAACCCUGGCUCCACCAUUAUUUGGAUAAAUUUCUAAGCAGCUAUGUGUCUCAGUUUCCCCUUAUGUAACAUGGGAAUAACAAUAAUAACAUUACCUUUUAUUAUUAUCUCUUAUGGACUGCAGAUACUUGUUCCAACUUCAUUUGUUAUGAGGCUGAAAUUAGUCUUGUAAAGUGCUUAUCACAGUGACCAGCACAGUAAGGGGUCUUACGUAUCUUGGCACAAAGUGCUUAAAAAUGUCAGGUAUACAUUGUGUCAGCAUUUCACCUGUGUUAGGCUCGGCUUUUCAGGAGAAAUGUGUGCCUAUCAAGGGGAAGGGGAUUUUUCCUUUACUUUGUUACCUGGGGCUAUGUUCCCGUCAUGAUGCGGGCACUCUGGGAGCUAAGAUCUAAACUAUACAAUACACCAUGUGCUGUGUAACAACGUUCAGUCAAUGGUGGGCAGCAUAUAUGGCGGUGGUCCCAUAAGAUCAGUACCGUAUAGCCUAGGUGUGUAGUAGGCUAUACCAUCUAGGUUUGUGUAAGCAUCCUCUAUGACAUUCACACAAUGACAAAAUCGGGUAAGGUACGUUUUUUAGAAUGUGUCCCCAACAAUAAGUGACUCAUGACUAUACUACUAGUCUUUGAGCUAUAUCAGAAUAGCAACGAUCUUACUUUUAAUACACAUAUCUGAAGAUUUAUAAGGAG